rnacentral:rRNA from 1 species
UAGUGAUUAACGCGAAGAACCUUACCCAGGCUUGAACAGCGAGUGACCAUUCCCGAAAGGGAACUUCCGCAAGGACGCUCGUAGAGGUGCUGCAUGGCUGUCGUCAGCUCGUGUCGUGAGAUGUUGGGUUAAGUCCCGCAACGAGCGCAACCCUUGUCUGCUGUUGCCAUCAGGUUAUGCUGGGCACUCUGCAGAGACUGCCGGUGAUAAACCGGAGGAAGGUGGGGAUGACGUCAAGUCAGCAUGGCCUUUAUGUCUGGGGCUACACACGUGCUACAAUGGCCGGUACAAACCGUCGCGAUACCGUAAGGUGGAGCUAAUCGGAGAAAGCCGGUCUCAGUUCGGAUAGCAGGCUGCAACUCGCCUGCUUGAAGUUGGAAUCGCUAGUAAUCGCGGAUCAGCACGCCGCGGUGAAUACGUUCCCGGGCCUUGUCACACCGAAUCGAAUUC